GUUGAUUGGGAAACUCGUCAAUUAUACGUGAAAUACCGAGACACCCUUAGCCGCCCGAUGGCGGGCCCCGCCCUCAGCAAUGGGGGAGCCUUUGAGCCGGGGGAUUACAAAGGACGGCGAGGACUCAAAUCCUGUCUUAUCGGAGUUUCAUCGCAUCCUUUGAUGUGGCUUU
rnacentral:sRNA from 1 species